GUGACGCGAGGGUGGGCCCGUCCAGCCCCGCCCCCAGGCGCCAUGGAGCGCAGAGGGGGCGGGGCUCGAGCGGCUCCAGGUGCGCGCGGCUUCCGACGGUCGUGCCUGGCGGCAGACCCGUAAACUCUCUACGUGGAGGGGUUCCGAGAUCUUCCGGGUCCGCACGUUGGCAGAGUGACGCCCCCCAAGCUCCACGGAGACAGGAGCUCCGGCGCUCGGGGCGCCCCCGGGCCUCGCCCUCCACCGCUCUCUCUGGCUGUUCGUGCCUUUCUGAUAAACGGCAGCUCACGCAGACUAAGACAGUCCAGCAUUUGCAAGGGAGAGAAUCCAUCCUGCUCUGCGUGCCACAUGGGGAGAUGCCAGGGGCCACUGGUGAGAUGUGGAUUGCCGUCCUUCAGCUCAGGUGCCCACCUGCAGUGGGAGAUGCAGACAAAUGAAUGAGAUGCGGCCACCCAUCCCAGGAGGACUUAGAACUGCCACAUGAUCCAGCAGUUCCACUCGUGGGUAUCUAUUCAAAGAAAGUGAAAACCCUAAUCUGAAAAGAUACACGCACCCCAACGUUCAUAGCAGCGCUAUUUACAAUAGCCAAGAUAUGGAAGCAACCUAAGUGUCCAUCAGGA